GCCGCCUUAGCUCAGUGGUAGAGCAAUGGUUUCGUAAACCAUGGGUCCGGGGUUCAAAUCCCCGAGGCGGCUCCA
rnacentral:tRNA from 1 species